rnacentral:misc_RNA from 1 species
AAGUAGUUAAUUUUAUUAAAAUAUAAAAAUUAAAUAAUAAUUUUUCUAAAAUUUAAUGGGGUAGAAGUGAUAAGGCAAGCCUGGACGGUGAGCUUCUUUAAUGAUGAAUCCAAUUCGACGUUGCUCCUAUCAUCCAAUCAAUCUCACUGGUGACAGCUAUUGCACCUUAUUUUAUCAUUGGCCCACAUUUAUUUUUUUGGGCUCCUUAAAACAAUUAGUUAGGCAAACCAAAUUUAGUAUUUUCAAAAUCUCACCCAAUCCAUUAAAUUUGCAAAUGGAAAAGGGUAUUUAAUUUUGUUUAAUUACUUUUAUUUUAUUAACUUUUCGAAAUUACUAUUUAAUAUAUAUAUACUGA